rnacentral:rRNA from 1 species
GAUGAACGCUGGCGGCGUGCUUAACACAUGCAAGUCGAACGGGAAACCUUUUAUUGAAGCUUCGGCAGAUUUAGCUGGUUUCUAGUGGCGGACGGGGGAGUAACGCGUGGGUAACCUGCCUUAUACAGGGGGAUAACAACCAGAAAUGGUUGCUAAUACCGCAUAAGCGCACAGGACCGCAUGGUCCGGUGUGAAAAACUCCGGUGGUAUAAGAUGGACCCGCGUUGGAUUAGCUAGUUGGCAGGGUAACGGCCUACCAAGGCGACGAUCCAUAGCCGGCCUGAGAGGGUGAACGGCCACAUUGGGACUGAGACACGGCCCAGACUCCUACGGGAGGCAGCAGUGGGGAAUAUUGCACAAUGGGGGCAACCCUGAUGCAGCGACGCCGCGUGAAGGAAGAAGUAUCUCGGUAUGUAAACUUCUAUCAGCAGGGAAGAUAGUGACGGUACCUGACUAAGAAGCCCCGGCUAACUACGUG